rnacentral:rRNA from 1 species
UGAGGAACAUGACCUUCGGCGGGGGAUAGCCGGCCCAACGGCCGGGUAAUACCGCGUACGACCUUUUGGGGACAUCCCCGAUUGGUGAAAGCAGCAAUGCGCCGAAAGAGUGCCUCGCGGCCUAUCAGCUAGUUGGUGGGGUAAUGGCUCACCAGGGCGACGACGGGUAGCUGGUCUGAGAGGAUGGCCAGCCACAUUGGGACUGAGACACGGCCCAGACCUCCGUACGGGAGGCAGC